rnacentral:rRNA from 1 species
CUGCUGCCUCCCGUAGGAGUUUGGGCCGUGUCUCAGUCCCAAUGUGGCCGUCCACCCUCUCAGGCCGGCUACUGAUCGUCGCCUUGGUGGGCCUUUACCCCGCCAACCAGCUAAUCAGACGCGGGUCCAUCUUGCACCACCGGAGUUUUUCACACUGUCCCAUGCGGGACCGUGCGCUUAUGCGGUAUUAGCACCUAUUUCUAAGUGUUAUCCCCCAGUGCAAGGCAGGUUACCCACGCGCUACUCACCCGUCCGCCA